AGAGUUUGAUCCUGGCUCAGGACGAACGCUGGCGGCGUGCUUAACACAUGCAAGUCGAGCGGGGAUGUUUCCUUCGGGGAACAUUCUAGCGGCGGACGGGUGAGUAACGCGUGAGCAAUCUGUCCCAGACAGGGGGAUAACACUUGGAAACAGGUGCUAAUACCGCAUAAGACCACGACACCACAUGGUGAUGGGGUAAAAGAAAUUCGGUUUGGGGUGAGCUCGCGUCCGAUUAGCUAGUUGGUGAGGUAACGGCCCACCAAGGCGACGAUCGGUAGCCGACCUGAGAGGGUGAUCGGCCACAUUGGAACUGAGACACGGUCCAAACUCCUACGGGAGGCAGCAGUGGGGAAUAUUGGGCAAUGGGCGCAAGCCUGACCCAGCAACGCCGCGUGAGGGAAGAAGGUCUUAUAGAUUGUAAAACUCUGUUGUAAAGGAAGAAACCUUACCAUAGGUAAUGAUGGUAAGCUGACGGUACUUUACCAGAAAGCCCCGGCUAACUACGUGCCAGCAGCCGCGGUAAUACGUAGGGGGCGAGCGUUAUCCGGAUUUAUUGGGCGUAAAGCGUGUGUAGGCGGUUUAUUAAGUUUAGAAUCAAAUCCCGAAGCUCAACUUCGGUUCGUUCUAAAAACUGGUAGACUUGAGUGUGGUAGAGGUAAAUGGAAUUUCUAGUGUAGCGGUUAAAUGCGUAGAUAUUAGAAGGAACACCAGUGGCGAAGGCGAUUUACUGGGCCACUACUGACGCUGAGACACGAAAGCGUGGGGAGCAAAUAGGAUUAGAUACCCUAGUAGUCCACGCCGUAAACGAUGAGUAGUGAGUGUAGGGAUACCGAAGGUGAAGUUAACACAUUAAGUAUUCCGCAUGAGUAGUACGGUGGCAAGGCUGAAACUCAAAGGAAUUGACGGGGGCCCGCACAAGCGGAGGAACAUGUGGUUUAAUUCGAUGAUACGCGAGGAACCUUACCCGGGCUUGAAAGUUAGUGACGGACUUGGAAACAGGUCUUUCCUUCGGGACACGAAACUAGGUGCUGCAUGGUUGUCGUCAGCUCGUGCCGUGAGGUGUCGGCUUAAGUGCCAUAACGAGCGCAACCCUUGUUGUUAGUUGCCAUCGGGUAAUGCCGGGCACUCUAACAAGACUGCUACUGUAAGGUAGAGGAAGGUGGGGAUGACGUCAAAUCAGCACGGCCCUUACGUCCGGGGCGACACACGUGUUACAAUGGCAGGUACAGAGGGUUGCUACCAUGUGAGUGGAUGCUAAUCUCAUAAAACCUGUCUCAGUUCGGAUCGGAGUCUGCAACUCGACUCCGUGAAGCUGGAUUCGCUAGUAAUCGCGCAUCAGCCAUGGCGCGGUGAAUACGUUCCCGGGCCUUGCACUCACCGCCCGUCA
rnacentral:rRNA from 1 species